rnacentral:miRNA from 1 species
GAUACCCAGCUAGCUUUGCAUUUGAGACAAACAAUGGAUAAUUUUUAGUGUAAGUAUGUCCUAUGCAAUGUUUGGGACAUACUUAUACUAAAAAAAUUAUUCAUUGUUUAUCUGAGAUUCAAAGUUAA